rnacentral:misc_RNA from 1 species
GGCCGCUCCACCCCUCCGUCGCGGGUCGAGGCCGCGCCGAAACCUGUCGUGGGGCGGCUCAGCUAUUAUGCCACGGACCGGGCCACGACUCCCGCUAAGAGGCCACGCCGUCGGGCCUCCCCUCGCCUCGGAGCUGUGCCACGGCUCCUCGCUCUGGGUCGCCCCUCACCAUGGAGCGGUGUUGGGCUCCUCACCGUCGGUCCUUCUUGCGCCAUGGAGCUAGGCUAGGCCGCCGCCGGCCCUUGCCCUGCCUCCUCGUGUCGUGGAGACGGGUCAUUCCUCCACUGCUGGUCGAGUCGUCCGCGUCGAGGUGGUGAGGAGUCUUCACUCCUGUCCCUGGUGUGUAUGGUUCGCCGCCAAGCAAAAAGGUCGUCGUUGCGUCGCCUCCUCGGGCAGCAGCAUCGCCAUCUGUCGUCAUCCUCGUCGUUGCAUCUACACGCUGUCGACUCCGUCGGUGCGCGUCUCCUGCGCACGGUCUGCGAGCUACGUCGGCAUACCCGUCGCUGGUCUGCACCGUGUUCGUCCUCGAGUUCUUCGCCAACAAGUACCGUCGUCGAGUCUCUUCUUCCUAUGUGUCGUAGCUCUCGUCGCUGCGACUCCAGGAUCCUCGAUGCGUCGCCACGCCUACGGCCUACCUCUUCGCCUUCGUCUAGCUCAUCCUUGUUGCCAGCAUCGUCGUCUCAUCCUCGACUAUUUCGUCUAGUCCGCUCUGACAACUAUGAGCUACGACAGCACUCCCGUCGUACCGCACUACAACCAUCAUGGAGGUCUUCUUUGUUGGUCCCUUCAGACGCUGACAUUUGGUUGGGCCUUCUACCUAGUACGUGCGGUACUGGCAACAACGGCACAUGCAUUCGUCUACGACACGUUUCCAGGUGUGGCAAACCUGGAGCACACCUCGUCCACGGCGGUUUGACAACAUCAUCCUCGGCAUCAGCUUCUUCCUCUACGACAGCAUCGACUGUGUCGCCGUCUUCGUCUAUGGCUCCUACACCACCAUCACCCUGGCGCGUUGCGGGCCUUCCCGCGUCUUGCGCCUACCCCGCGACUUGUGCGUCUUGUUGUCUUCGACAUCCUCGACAGCUACAUCGACCACAGCUACCCAACGCACGGCACCACAACACAACUACUUGUCCUCGCGCUUGGCUACUUCGACAUCGGCACAAAGGGCUACCGCCUUGCUUGGGCAACCUGGUCGGCUUCCACUCCAGCCACAGCAUCUGGCAUCGACCAUUACGACUGCGGGAGGGGGGUUUCAGAUCGACUGCUU